rnacentral:lncRNA from 1 species
GUGCAGUGGCGCGCGAUCUCGGUUCACUGCAAGCUCCACCUCCCGGGUUCACGCCAUUCUCCUGCCUCAGCCUCCUGAGUAGCUGGGACUACAGGCGCCCGCCACCACACCCAGGAACAAAACCCAUCAGAAGAUGUCAGAAGAUAAGGAUUUUUGUCCUGAUGCUACACUUACCAGCUGUCCCUCAGUGUUCUACUUCUUAAAAAAAGAGAGAUGGAUAAACAGAGGCAACCCGAGGAUAAAGGCCUUGCUCAGUGUCACACAUUUCAGUCACUAAAUAAGACACAAUGGAUGCCAGUAUUCUCAUCCCCUCACAAAUAAAGAGCCUUCAAGCUCUUGCAGUCAACAAGAACUUUUGGAAUGAUUUCACUGCCUGAAAAGGCAGAUACAUAGGUGACACCCACAAAUAGGAAGAAAAUCAACCUGAACCUGAGUGUGUGGGCUCACUGACUCUAAGCAGUAGAGACAGAAGAAAAAGUUUUAGCAAAGAAGGGUUCUGAAAGAAAAUAAAUAUAGCUCGUUAUCAAGUGCUGUUUUUACACAGUAAAACAUGGGCAAAAUUACUCUUCUUUAAGUAGUAAUUCUUAUCUCUUGAUUAAGUCACCUACUCAUUCAUUUAAUAAAUACAUACUGAUUGUUUUCUAUGUGUUGAGCACUCAUCUCUGUAUUGGAAAUAUAAUAAUGACCAAAGUUGACAAUAGUAAUAACAAUAAUAGCUAAUAUAGCAGGCACUAAUAAUUAUUUGUUGAGUAAUAUGUCAAAAUUCAGUGUGAACAGCAUUCUAUUUGGGGCUGCAUCCACUGACUAUAACACAGCUAAUCUAUCUGAAAUGUUCCAGCUUUGGGCCUCUCUAACAGAAGAAGCUGUUGUUGGGCCUGCCUCUAGUUGGCGAUGCAUCCACCAAUGAGAAUGAAUUUAUGAUCGACCACUCUUCCUGUAAAGGCCGCUGGAACUGACAGCAUUGUGAUUUUCUUUUACUGUUAGUUUUAAAUUACUAGAACCAACUCAAUUACUAGAACGAACUUUACUUCUUUGUUUCCUACUUAUCAAAACAGUAAAAACAACAAGUAAAAGAAAUGCCAUCUUAAUAUUGUUUUGAUGACAAAACAGUAUUCCUUUUAGUUGUGCUUCAAAUGGAAUAAGAUGCAAACAGGCUUGGUAUGGUGGCUCACCCCUGUAAUCCCAGCCCUUUGGGAGGCCAAGGUGGAAGGAUUGCUUGAGGCCAUGAGUUUGAGACCAGCCUGCGCAACAUAGCAAGACCGUG